rnacentral:lncRNA from 1 species
UUGUAAUGACUUUUCUUUGCUUUUCCAUUAAAUUUUUGUGUGCUACUUUUAAAAUGUUCCCAAAGUGUAUCUACUAUCUAGGAGCAAUCACUACAUGUUAGAUACAUUUUAGAAAUUGAUAUACAUAUUUUUUUUUCUCAAAUGGCUACAUUUAUUAUCAAAUACAAAUCAUAACGUAUCCCUGCAAAAUCAAUGCCCUGAGUAGAUAUACACUGGUAAACUCCUUGUAGGAAGUCCAUGGAUGAUGCUCAUUAACUGAAAACUAAUAUAUUCAUGUUGGGAAUUUGGCCAACUUUCUCACCAAAAAAGAAAAAGGGGAAUUUGGCAACUGGGAUGCAUAAGUGUUCUCUAAUUUAGGCAUGUGAAGUAUUUUUUUUUUUGUUGUUGAUCUUAAUUUUUUGUCAUUAAUCCAGUCAAAACAAGAGCUGUAACAAUCUUAUUCACACUAUUGCUUGGGAUUAAUGGACUUGUAAUUCUUUAUGUACUGAAGUGAGUUUGCUUCCAUAGAGAUAUCAAAAUUUUUUGUUUUCUACUUCAAUCAAUUGCAUUAUGCCAUUUGGUCAUCCCCUGUUGUCACCUAUAUGCUUGUGCCUGUCAGCAAAAUACCCUUGACCACACACACACAUGCACUAGAAAAUAGAGAGAGAAAAGUGAACAGAAGGAUUUUAUAUUGUUCAGCAAGUUUGCCUGCAUCCACUAUUGAAAGGAGGAUUUAUAUAAUCUCCCCAAUAAUAAAAAUGCCAAUACCAUCACCCAGAAUUGUGCACCUGGCGGUGGAGCUCCUCCUCUUGGGUCCUCAGCUAGCUGUAAAUCUCUAGUAAGCCUCAACUCCAGUACCUCCCUGAGAAGGUGCUAAAUUAAGUACAAGCUCAACUUAAAGAUGCCAUGCAGACAUUAUGAGGUUUAUUAGGCAAAACAAAUUACAUUAGUAUAUAUGGGACUCCUUUAAUAUCAGAAAUAUAAUUUCAUAGAAGUUCUUCUCAUAUUUAAAAAUCAAGGCAGGUAUUGUUGUAUCUCACUUUCCCUCUCUUCCUCUCUUCUCUGUACAUGUACACCCCAACAAUAUUUUGUAGUAUGUGAAGUGUGCACCUGGCAAUGGCCUUUAGGCUGAAAUAGUAGUUAUACAAAUAUUCAUUCAACCAGAGUUUCAAUUUUAGGGGAAUUAGAGGCUGCGACACUUUGCAGAUUUAGCAAUGAGUUGAGCAGUCCCAGACUCUCAGUACUCAUCCUUCAUCCUAAUUUAUAUUAUUAAGGUGUUACUGGGUUUAUGUAUAUAUCAAGUUUCCAUACUGUUUUCUGUGAAUUCCGCAUCUCUCAAAAGUAGAAGUAUAAAAUAAUCCACCUCCAAGUAUCUUCCCCUACUACCUAUUAAUUCCUCCCCACCCGAACCCCCAUCACACAGUAGAUUCUGUCUAGUUGUGAUUCUGUGAAAGGCAGAUCCUAUACAAGUAAAGAUCUAACGCUUUUAUCAGAACUGGGGAUAUGGAGUUCAAGUUCUCUAUCCAAUUAAAAUCCCUGAUGCGGAAAGUUCAACAUACUAAUAAAUAAUAAUUACUGGGUUCCUGAUUGGGCAGGAACUGAUGAAAACUGAGCAUGAUGAGUCUGCAUGCAACCCC